rnacentral:SRP_RNA from 1 species
CCGUGCUAGGUGGGGCAUUAGGGGAGCCCUGAACCCGAAAUCCUCUUCAUGCGGGGCUGAAUUCCCCGCCUGAGGAUGGUGGUCGACCAGGUCGAGCGCCGGGCACGUGGUGUUGACAGGUUGGGUCCCGCGCGGCGGGGCUCCGUGAACCGGGUCAGAUCCGGAAGGAAGCAGCCCUAAGCGGUAAGUCCCGGGCGACGUGGGGUUGCUCGAUCCGAGCCAACGACCCGGAACGCGCUGGCAGGCGCCGUCCGAAGGCGGGGUGCACGG